UAGGAGAACGCUGGCGGCGNGCNUAAUACAUGCAAGUCGAGCGGAUCUUUAGAAGCUUGCUUCUAAAGAUUAGCGGCGGACGGGUGAGUAACACGUGGGCAACCUGCCUGUAAGACUGGGAUAACUUCGGGAAACCGAGGCUAAUACCAGAUAAUCCUUUUCCUCACAUGAGGGAAAGCUGAAAGACGGCAUCACGCUGUCACUUACAGAUGGGCCCGCGGCGCAUUAGCUAGUUGGUGAGGUAACAGCUCACCAAGGCGACGAUGCGUAGCCGACCUGAGAGGGUGAUCGGCCACACUGGGACUGAGACACGGCCCAGACUCCUACGGGAGGCAGCAGUAGGGAAUCUUCCGCAAUGGACGAAAGUCUGACGGAGCAACGCCGCGUGAACGAUGAAGGCCUUCGGGUCGUAAAGUUCUGUUGUU
rnacentral:rRNA from 1 species